rnacentral:tRNA from 1 species
AUGCCGUAAUUGCGGAACGUAUUCGAGCGCAGUCUGUUGAUUUGAAGUAGUUCUGGAGUGGACUUUUAAUCCGUUGGUCACUGGUUCAAAUCCAGUACGGCCUACCA